rnacentral:rRNA from 1 species
CCUACGGGGGGCAGCAGUAGGGAAUAUUGCUCAAUGGGGGAAACCCUGAAGCAGCAACGCCGCGUGGAGGAUGAAGGUUUUCGGAUUGUAAACUCCUUUUGUUAGAGAAGAGAAUGACGGUAUCUAACGAAUAAGCACCGGCUAACUCCGUGCCAGCAGCCGCGGUAAUAUGGAGGGUGCAAGCGUUACUCGGAAUCACCGGGCGUAAAGGGCGCGUAGGCGGGAUAGCAAGUCAGAUGUGAAAUCCUAUGGCUUAACCAUAGAACUGCAUUUGAAACUGUUAUUCUAGAGUAUGGGAGAGGUAGGUGGAAUGCUUGGUGUAGGGGUGAAAUCCGUAGAGAUCAAGAAGAAUACUCAUUGCGAAGGCGGCCUGCUAGAACAUAACUGACGCUGAUGCGCGAAAGCGUGGGGAGCAAACAGGAUUAGAUACCCGGGUAGUC